rnacentral:lncRNA from 1 species
GGAGUAAGCUGUGUUAGUUUGGUGUGCCUCAAAUAGUUCAUUCUCUUUGCUAGCCGGCAAGAAGAUUAAAUAACACCUCAGAAAAUCACUUAAACGUGCACAGUAAGAUAUUUUAAAACAUCCAUCAAAAAACGAGUCAUUUGCUGAGAAGAACAUCAUCCGUUGUCUGUAGAACUGGCACAGCUCAGACCCCUGCACCCCAUGGUAGAGCAGGAUAGGCCCCAGCCCCUGCUGUGCUCCAGCUCAGCUCAGCAGUGCCCACAGAGCCCCCAGCUCUGCCCCUGCUCUGAUCAGCUCACAGUGCAUCACACAGUGCAGGUGUGAGUGCUGACACUUCUCCACCUGGGCAGGAAUGGUUUCUAGCUCAGGCCAACGGAAUGAGUUCUAUUCAUUUGUAGCCUGUGAUUGCAGAAGUUGCUGGCACAUAAAACAGAGGUGGGGGAAAGUGUUCUUACACCGAAGAAAAGCUAUGUAAGUGAGUUUCUUGCAGCAUGUCUGCUUCCUUUUAUUAGAGUAUUUACCAUUAACUUUAUCCCCUGUGGCCAAUUACUGUCCUUUUUAUUUCUUUUUAUUGUGAGGCUCAGAGGAUGCUGUGAACAAACCCUUUCUGAUAUUCCUCAGCAAUUACUGCUGUGGUUAUACCUCUCUCUUCUCUGCUCCGAGUGCCAGCACAGCCCCACAGAAGCUGCCUGCACCCCUCCAUCCCAGCAUUAACCCCACCUCACCCUGCCCUCCCUUCAGCUGUGUUUGAGUCAUCCAAACUCUUGUUCCAGUUGCUGCUGCACCUACUCACACCAGCCUCAAUACUAUAAAAAUGUGCUCCAGAGCGUACUGCUGGAGAGAAGCUUCACCCAGCGUUGACAUCAAUCCACAGGGAUCACAAUGCCCCAUUCCCAGCAGAUCACCCUGUGAACCUGUCCUGGUAACUCACUGCAGCUGGGCAGCCUGGUCACCACCCCAUAAAUGGGAAUUUGUUGCAGUUUCAUUUUUCCAUGGAAGACGUGUGGAAGUGAUGCGUUCUGGACGCUUUCAUAGGUGA